AGUGAACGCUGGCGGUAGGCCUAACACAUGCCAGUCGAACGGCAGCACAGUAAGAGCUUGCUCUUACGGGUGGCGAGUGGCGGACGGGUGAGGAAUACAUCGGAAUCUACUUUUUCGUGGGGGAUAACGUAGGGAAACUUACGCUAAUACCGCAUACGACCUACGGGUGAAAGCAGGGGAUCUUCGGACCUUGCGCGAUUGAAUGAGCCGAUGUCGGAUUAGCUAGUUGGCGGGGUAAAGGCCCACCAAGGCGACGAUCCGUAGCUGGUCUGAGAGGAUGAUCAGCCACACUGGAACUGGGACACGGUCCAGACUCCUACGGGAGGCAGCAGUGGGGAAUAUUAGACAAUGGGCGCAAGCCUGAUCCAGCCAUACCGCGUGGGUGAAGAAGGCCUUCGGGUUGUAAAGCCCUUUUUUUGGGAAAGAAAAGCAGCAGGUUAAUACCCCGCUGUUCUGACGGUACCCAAAGAAUAAGCACCGGCUAACUUCGUG
rnacentral:rRNA from 1 species